rnacentral:rRNA from 1 species
UCCCUUAGUAACUGCGAGUGAACCGGGAAGAGCUCAAAUUUAAAAUCUGGCGGUUCUGCCGUCCGAGUUGUAAUCUGGAGAAGCGUUUUCCGCGUCGGACCGUGUACAAGUCUCUUGGAAUAGAGCGUCAUAGAGGGUGAGAAUCCCGUCCAUGACACGGACUCCCGGUGCUUUGUGAUACGCUCUCAAAGAGUCGAGUUGUUUGGGAAUGCAGCUCAAAAUGGGUGGUAAAUUCCAUCUAAAGCUAAAUAUUGGCGAGAGACCGAUAGCGAACAAGUACCGUGAGGGAAAGAUGAAAAGCACUUUGGAAAGAGAGUUAAACAGUACGUGAAAUUGUUGAAAGGGAAACGCUUGAAGUCAGUCGCGUCGUACGGAGCUCAGCCUUGCUUCUGCUUGGUGUAUUCUCCGUGUCGACGGGUCAACGUCAAUUUUGACCGGUGGAAAAGGGCUUAGGGAAUGUAGCGUUGUUUCGGCGACGUGUUAUAGCCUUGGGUCGUAUGCAUCGGUUGGGAUUGAGGAUCGCAGCACGCCCUUGUGGCCGAGGGUUCGCCCUACGUUCGUGCUUAGGAUGUUGGCAAAAUGGCUUUAAGCGACCCGUCUUGAAACACGGACCAAGGAGUCUAACAUGCCUGCGAGUGUUCGGGUGGAAAACCCUUGCGCGUAAUGAAAGUGAAAGUUGGGAUCCUUCGUAAGGAGGUGCACCGACGCCCGGCCCUGACGUUCUCUGACGGUGCUGCGGUAGAGCAUGUAUGUUGGGACCCGAAAGAUGGUGAACUAUGCCUGAAUAGGGUGAAGCCAGAGGAAACUCUGGUGGAGGCUCGUAGCGAUUCUGACGUGCAAAUCGAUCGUCAAAUUUGGGUAUAGGGGCGAAAGAC